AACUUUCAGCAACGGAUCUCUUGGCUCUCGUAUUGAUGAAGAACGCAGCGAAAUGCGAUAAGUAAUGUGAAUUGCAGAAUUCAGUGAAUCAUCGAAUCUUUGAACGCACCUUGCGCCCUUUGGUAUUCCGAAGGGCAUGCCUGUUUGAGUGUCAUUA
rnacentral:rRNA from 1 species